UACACUGGUUCUCAUACAAUCACUGAAGUUAAGCAUCACCAAGCCUGGUCAGUACCUAGAUGGGUGAGCUUUUAGGAAUACCAGGUGCUGUAAG